UCCAGCGAACUUGGCAGAGAUGCCUUGGUGCCUUCGGGAACGCUGAGACAGGUGCUGCAUGGCUGUCGUCAGCUCGUGUUGUGAAAUGUUGGGUUAAGUCCCGNAACGAGCGCAACCCUUAUCCUUUGUUGCCAGCGAUUCGGUCGGGAACUCAAAGGAGACUGCCGGUGAUAAACCGGAGGAAGGUGGGGAUGACGUCAAGUCAUCAUGGCCCUUACGAGUAGGGCUACACACGUGCUACAAUGGCGCAUACAAAGAGAGGCGACCUCGCGAGAGCAAGCGGACCUCAUAAAGUGCGUCGUAGUCCGGAUCGGAGUCUGCAACUCGACUCCGUGAAGUCGGAAUCGCUAGUAAUCGUGGAUCAGAAUGCCACGGUGAAUACGUUCCCGGGCCUUGUACACACCGCCCGUCACACCAUGGGAGUGGGUUGCAAAAGAAGUAGGUAGCUUAACCCUCGGGAGGGCGCUUACCACUUUGUGAUUCAUGACUGGGGUGAAGUCGUAACAAGGUAGGCGUAGCGAG
rnacentral:rRNA from 1 species